rnacentral:lncRNA from 1 species
UGUGCCCCGGGCCCAGCUCGCCCCGCUGCUUCCCGGCCCAGUGCCUCCAAGCUGGGCCCAGCCUCUCGGGCCUGGGCCUGCCGCAGAGCCGGGACAUUGCCCUGCUGGGACCUGGCGCCCACUGGGCCUCGGGGCGUAGGGAGGGUGCCGGGACUGGGAGCUCGGGGAGCGGAAGGGCGUCGGUACCGAUCUUCCUUCCAAGACCUGGGGGUGGACCUGGCCUGUGGCCUUCCCUGUGCCCCCUCUUCUCUUAGACCAUUGACUUUCUGAACGACAACAUCCGACGAGGGAUUGAGAACUACUACGACGACCUCGACUUCAAGAACAUCAUGGACUUUGUUCAGAAGCAGGUGAGCCCCGGGGCUGGGGCCAGAGGGGUACCUCGAGGUCCUUCGUCCCCCUGACUCCCACCACAGUAGGGGCCCCUGCUCCAGAAGGGAGGGGGUGUCAAGGGUCAGGUGACGUAUCCAUUCCCAAAGCAGGCGGCUGGCCCAGUUGGGAGGCGUGGCCACCAACGAAGCCAGGGCCCAGCUGGCCCCCGAGUCCUGGCCCAGGUGACCGUAUCCUACCCACUCUGGUUACAUGGACCCUCCCCUGUCCCCUCCCACCCCCAAAUAAUCACCCCCACAGCAAGGCCAGGCGGAGCUACGGGCCACCUUGCAGGGUCCUGGGUACACCUCCUCCAGGGCCAGGGACCCUCCUCUGCGGGAUGAGGUGGCCUCCCCAGCCUAAGCCUCCUCGGCGAAGUCCCCUGGCUCCAGGGAGCUCACCUGCUAAGUGACAGUCCUGAUGGCAGGACUCUGCACCGGCUCAUUCCUCCAGGUCGGGCACAGAGCCACCCCCGCCCCCACCACGCGUCCCCCAGUGUGAUGAGAAUCCUGUGCCGUCUGGGGUCCCCGGCCUCCCCAGGCCCACCCGACUCUGUUGGUGCCAUGAGAGCAGUUGCAGGGCCGCCAGUGUCCCCAUGUGCUCCUGCACCUGUCUCCUUUGGUCCCGGCUCACGGUCCUCACUCCCUGAGCGCUGCCCUGAGGGUCACCCAACUUCUCUCAGGAACAGAGCCUGGCACAGCACGUGCCAGCAGCGAGGCCGUCCUUACACUCUCCUGGUUGAGGCCAGCAGAGUUUGAAGGCUGCAGGCCCACUCGGCCCUGGAGGCCUGUCCUGGGACAUGACCUUGGGGGUUGGGCUGGCCCUUGAGGACCAGCCUCUCAGCACACCCAGGGCCCUUGGCUCAGAGCUUCUCUGUGGUCAGAACAGGUGCAGCUUCUGGGAGCCCUGGCUGCCAGGACGUGCCUGCCAACGCUGGCCGGAGCGUCAAGUCAGACUCCAGGGAGAGCACGAUGUUUUUAUUGGAACCAGCCUCUUGCUGGCACGGGGACUCCAUCUCCUGGGUGGGGCAGGGCUGACCAAAGCUCACUGGGCCCCUGCUGUGCACAGCCUCUCUUGUGAUCACAGCUUAGUUCUGCAAAGCUGCUGUUGCUCUUCCUGUUUUAUAGAGGAGAAUUUGAGUCCAGAGAGGCUGAUUGACUUACCUGCAGUCACACAGCUGGGAGUGGCAGUAUGAGGAUUUGAACUCAGGCAAAGCAGAUGUCCCUUGAACUGCACAGAGGCACUUACAGAUCCAGAAAGCUGAUUGCUUAAGAGGCACUAUGGGGGCUCUGGAAGGGUGUCUGGUUUCUGUUUCUACCAGGACCUCCUACUGAAGCUCUCCCCAGGGAUGCUCCACUGCUCCUGGACCUAAUCCCGGCUCCCCGCUUACUCUGGCUGACGGGGCUUGGCGGUGCUCUGCCUCCUUCUCAUAACCUGCCACUCGCUCACUCUGUUCCAGACUCGCUGGCUUUUGUGCCCACUGCUGAAGUACAGGCUCGUUUCUGCGCAGGGCCUUUGCACAUGUCAACGGGCUUGUCCUUACUUACUUUUCAGAUGAAAUGUCCCCUCCUCAGAGUGGCCUUUCUGGACCUCCCAACCUGUAGCCACCCACCCUGCUCCCCCCCACCCGUCUCUCCAAGUCCAGGGUGCACAGAACCCCACCUGAUCUUUUCACUUAGCACCUACUGUCUCCCUCGGUGCUUUUGCUCACCCCUUUCUGCCCAGAGCCCCGAACAGAAGCUGGCUCCGCCCACUCCUCAGAGCUGCGCCUGCUGCCCAUGGAGCUGGCUGCUGGGGAGGAGGGCGUGGGGUUGACCCGAGGGAGAGCCGGGGCAGCUGCUCGUGCCCCAAGGCCAGUGGACGGGGACUUCCACAGAAUCAUGGUCUCUGGUGCCGUGAAGGUCCUCCUCCAGCCCAGCGCCUGCACAGGGACACGGGGACACAGGGACACAGGGAUGGUGAAGUUGUCAAAGGAGGAUUUUCCUUUGGUGCCCAGGUGUUGCCCUGACCUGGGGCACUCACUGCCUCCCGAUGGCUGAGCCGCUCGGGGACAGCUCUGGCCCCACACUGCACAGCCGAUGCCCUCUAGGGCUCCCUGCCUCAGGGCAACCCCCGUGGUAGACCGCUGUCCCCUGGCCCCUUACCGCCACCCGACCUCCUCGGCAGUGAUGGCUCCCUGUCCCGCUUGUGUCCUCCUCAGUUCAAGUGCUGUGGCGGGGAGGACUACCGAGACUGGAGCAAGAACCAGUACCAUGACUGCAGCGCCCCUGGGCCGCUGGCCUGCGGGGUGCCGUACACCUGCUGCUUCAGAAACACGGUAGCUGCUGGCAGGGGGAGGGCAGGGGUGCACCCCACGCUCAGAUCCCGGGUCCGGGGUGGUGGCCAGAGCCGAGCUUUCCUGAGCUCCAAGGGCUCCUGCAGGGGGAGGCCAGGGAGGGUGUCGCCUUGUGAGCCAGGUCAGUUGGCCUCUGUUGGGAACGAGCCCUUUGAUUGGGUGAAUUCACUUUCCACUUACAGCCUGUGAGCAGGCCCUGGGAUUGUCCCCACUUUCCAGAUGGGGAAACUGAGGCACUGGAAGGUUGGGCGUCCUGUCCAGACUUGGCAGGGCUAUAGGGUAAAAUGCCCGCAGCUGUGCCCUGGAGAGCUGUGGGCAGGGACGGGGCAGGAGGAGGGGGCCCUGGCGGGGGGUGUCUCCCGUGACCUUGAGCUUGAGGUUCUGGGAGUCGCAGCAGCAGAGCACUGGGGAGAAGCGGGUCUGGGGGUGUGAAUGCCUGCUUCUGCCUCUCCCCGGCACACCCCUCUCAGCUGUCACCUCCUGAGUCCCCUGGGCUGCUGUCCUAUGCAGUCACCGCCCGUCAGUCCUCGGGUGUAGCCAGUGUGCGCAGAGCUGCCUGGUUUCUGGAUCGGAAUGGAGCAGACGGCGUUGCAAUUACUCAAGCCACCAAGAGUCAUGGAAAAUUCCCCGCUGACACCUCCGCUCUCUGUGCCCGCGGGUUCUGUAAACGGAGCAGUGGCGGGCGGGGGCCUCGCCCUGAGCCGGAGCCAGUGACAGUGUAUCACCCUAAAAAAGGCCAGGCCAGGAGGGGAGCCGGCAUGGCACAUCCAGCUGCCAUUUUAGGGUAGAUCUCUGGGCAGCAGGAGAGCCGUGGAGAGCCGGGGUUUUCAGAGACCUGGAGAGGUUCGUCCAGCACUCUUAAGUGGCAGAGAAGGAGCUGGAUCCAUUGAGGGUGAUGCCGGAGGCCACAGUAGCCUCUCCUUGGUCACUCAUGGCCCCCUGGCCCCACAGCGUUCACUUAGACAUAGAGGGACACGCUGGACAGGCUGAGCCUGGGGGCCCACCUCUCCCCUUAUGAAUGGAGAUGGCAUCAGGCAGGGCACAGGUGGUGACAGAAAGUUCCCCUGCAGCCUGUGUCCUGGGGCCUGUCUGGAAGGGAUGGGACAGGGCCUGGUCAUAGCUUUCUCUGUGCCUGAGUUGACCAGCAGCCAGGAGUCCUGGGGACCACUCUUCCAUAGCGCUCCCUGCUGCUGAGGCAGGGGACGUGUGGCCAGUGGCCCAGGGAAGGGUGGACCCAGCGGCAGGGUCCCAGCUGUGGUCUGAGGUUUCCCUUCAUAGGAACCAGUGGAGUAGGAAGAGCCCGGUCCCAGCCUCUUCGAGGUGUGUGACCACAGUGGCUCUUGGAACAGCUGGGGAUCCUGAGACAGCACCGCCUGGUUACUGCGGGUGGAGGGGACAGUUUAGGCACAGACUCAAGCCAGGCCACUUGGGCAGACCCUCGGCUCCCUCCUAGACGGCGCAACUCUCUGGGCCUCAGUCCUUCCAGCUGUAAAAUGGGUGGAUUGAGGGUCUUAGUGUGCACCCUGGAGGGUUACCGGCCACACCUUUCUGUUUCAGACAGACGUUGUCAACACCAUGUGCGGCUACAAAACCAUCGACAAGGAGGUAAUGUCUUUGAAAUUCCUUUGUCCCAGAAUUUGGCUCUUCUUGUCCUUCCCCCAGGUAGACAGAGGGGUUUCCAGAGGUGGGGUUCCUGCUGCAGUGACUCCCCACACUCCUGGCUGUGAGCCGAGGACAGGCCUGCCGGACACAGAAGGGCUCAGGGAGCCAGGAGUCCUCGUGUCCCUGGGUCUGGGAGAGGCCACCUGCCAGGGUUUGCUGAGCACCUAGUUCAGUCUUGUGCACAUGAGAGACGGUGGCCCUUGCAGGCACCCCCUGUACACUGUGUCCCUGGCUCUGCCCCCUCCCAGCCUGCUUUUGCCCUUGGAGUUGCCAGUUGGCAGACGGCUCAUCUCUGCCUGAGACCCAGGAGGACAGUGAGCCCCUGGGGGUACCCCGGGGUCAGCUUCCUGAGCAGUAGGGGGUCUCUGCAGCAGCUGCCCUGUGGGAACACAUUAGAAAGCACAUCAUUUGGGAGCAUUUCAGAUUUGGGGGUUUGGAUUAGGGAUGCUCAACCUUUAUAAUCACUAUUCGAUUUACAUAGUAGUCGUUCUAGACGAUUCCUUGUAUAUUAAAACCAUGCAAAAAAACCCAAACCCUUUUUUCUCCCUCCUACGUACCUGGAGUUAGGCUUUUGGCUCAGGUGGCCGUAGGCAGGCCAGGGGUCCACUUGAAAGGCGUGCACACGGGCCAGUGUUUGUGGACUAGGGUUACCCUGAGCUUUGCCAUCCUCCAGUACCCAGCCCCAAUCAUUUGGACACCAAGGUGCCACCGCCAUGUCCCCAGUACUCUUUAGGGGAGUGAUACUAGAGAAUCAGUGGUCUGCGGCCAUCUUCCCAUAUUGCAUGGGAGAAGCGGAGGCCCAGAGUGGCCAAAGGAUUGACCUGGAGCUCUGGUGAGUGGCAGAGGGGAUGUGCUGUCGGGCUGACCAGCCUCCCCCCUACAGCGCCUCAGCGUGCAGGACGUCAUCUACGUGCGGGGCUGCACCAACGCUGUGCUCAUCUGGUUCAUGGAUAACUACACCAUCAUGGCGGGCCUCCUGCUGGGCAUCCUGCUCCCCCAGGUGGGAGCCCCCAGGGUCCCCUGUGCAGCUGGGUUAUUGCAGGAGUAGUGUGGGAGAAGAUGGGGGGCUCUGGGAGGGCUGGAAGAGAGGCCGGGAGGCUGGAGCGUGGGGUGUUGAGCUCUGAGGUGCUUCACAGGCACCUCCUCCUCCGGCUCUCUGUGAGGGAGUGGGACGAUCAUUCCCAUUUUGCAGAGAAGGAAACUGAGGCUUGGCGAGGUGAAGUGACGUGCCUGAGCCCUGCUAGAUGGGCCACGGCAGAGCUGGGUGGGGAGCAGGUUCCCAGCCUGCAGGGACCCUGGCUGGUGGGACCCAGGGAGGCCUCUGAGGUUUCUGGGGGGGGGGCCUGGGGAGGCCUAGGCUGGGGCUGCUGGGUCGUGGGGUGCAGGGAGGAGCUCCCGGGAGGGCUCUGCACUGGCUGCUCGUGUUUCUGGAGCCGGGACCUGCCAGGGAGGGCCGCCCUGGGGGCCGCGAGGCUCUCCCCAACCUGCCCCUUCUUCUUAGUUCUUGGGGGUGCUGCUGACGCUUCUGUACAUCACCCGCGUGGAGGACAUCAUCAUGGAGCAUUCUGUCACCGACGGACUUCUGGGCCCGGACGCCAAGCUCAGCGCGGACACAGCAGGCACAGGCUGCUGCUUGUGCUACCCCAAUUAGGGCCGGGGCCUGGACACCAACUCCAGCAGGACCUGGCUGGGUGGCACCUCUCAGUCCACUUUAGGGGCUGGACAGGCUGCACCACGGCCCUGUGCCCGGGUGGAGUGCCCCUGUGGGCGGCAUCUCCACGGCCACACACUCUGGGUUCCGUGCCCACCCUGCCAGGAGAGAGAACGUGGCGUCCCUGCUCUGGGUCUGGGCCAUGAGGGAAAGAGGAACUUGGGGCUCAGCUUGGGGCCCACUUUAUUUCCGGCGGUGCCCUGGGCUUGUGGUCAGUAGGCCCCCCUUCAAGGGCAGUUUUGCUGUGAUUUGUCAGUUUGGGGAGACAGUGGCAGGAGGGGCAGGGGGUAGCCCUCCCACGCCCCAGAUCAGGUCGGGCCAUUUCUCAGCCUCCGUAGGUGCCUUCAGCCCUCUGCAAGGGCAGCUGUUUUGCUGACCUGUUUUCAUGUUCUGUGCAGAGCCGGGCAUUUUCCCGCUUUGGCUCCAAGUCAGUUCAUUAAUCAAACAAUAAAGACAAGAUUUUUUUUUUUUU